GGAUGAUAACCCAUCUUGAGCAGAAGGUGAAGUAUAGGAACUAAAAUCUCUCCGAGUAUCAGAGUCCUUUCCAGAAUCAGUUCCAGAAAAUUUCUCAUUUCCUUCUCCACAUUUCUUGUGAGAGUCAUUGAAAACAGGAGUGUCUUUGUUAGCAGCCACAUCGCCCUUGCUUUCAGUUGCCCUGGUAAAAUUAUCAGCAGAAGUAGAAGAAUUUGUAUCCUGAUAUGGUGAAAAAUCCAUAGGUGAACAACAUCCAGGAGACUGAUCAUUGUGCGUGGAACUGUU
rnacentral:misc_RNA from 1 species